CCUACGGCAGGCAGCAGUGAGGAAUAUUGGUCAAUGGGAGAGAUCCUGAACCAGCCAAGCCGCGUGAGGGAAGACGGCCCUACGGGUUGUAAACCUCUUUUGCCGGGGAACAAAACCCGGGACGUGUCCCGGCCCGCGUGUUUCCGAAGAAAAAGCAUCGGCUAACUCCGUGCCAGCAGCCGCGGUAAUAAGGAGGAUGCGAGCGUUAUCCGGAUUUAUUGGGGUUAAAGGGUGCGUAGGCGGUCCGUUAAGUCAGCGGUAAAAUUGCGGGGCUCAACCCCGUCGAGCCGUUGAAACUGGGAGACUUGAGUGGGCGAGAAGUACGCGGAAUGCGUGGUGUAGCGGUGAAAUGCAUAGAUAUCGCGCAGAACUCCGAUUGCGAAGGCAGCGUACCGGCGCCAGACUGACGCUGAGGCACGAAAGCGUGGGGAUCGAACAGGAUUAGAUACCCGGGUAGUC
rnacentral:rRNA from 1 species